CAGCCGCCGCGGGAAUACGGAGGGGGCUAGCGUUGUUCGGAAUUACUGGGCGUAAAGCGCACGUAGGCGGCUUGGUAAGUUAGAGGUGAAAGCCUGGAGCUCAACUCCAGAAUUGCCUUUAAGACUGCCGAGCUAGCAGGUGAGAGAGGUAAGUGGAAUUCCGAGUGUAGAGGUGAAAUUCGUAGAUAUUCGGAAGAACACCAGUGGCGAAGGCGGCUUACUGGCUCAUACUGGACGCUGAGGUGCGAAAGCGUGGGGAGCAAACAGGAUUAGAUACCCCUGUAGUCCCUGUCUCUUAUAC
rnacentral:rRNA from 1 species